GUGAGAGAGGCCAUGGAGUGGUAAGAACCUUCUGCGAGGCCGAGAAACUGGGCAUAACAUCCUGAUUUACAUUGCAACGGUCUAAAAGCCUCGACCGCCGCGAAUGGACGCUCCUGUAGUCAAAGCCAAACUGAAUUAACAAGUCGGUUUCUGAUCAGCGAACCUUUGAGUUCUGCCUUCCUCACAGCUCGGGUCUGCUGGCUAGAGGCCGAUGGCCCUUCAGUUCGGGGUUGACUGGGCUCCUCCUGGGCGGUUGGCGGUGAAUUGUCUCUCGCCCAUGUUUUAUAGACUUGUUUAACCAAUUUGAUAAGGUCGCCGAAAGAAGUAUUUAUAUUAGUUUAUCCCGCGUAACUCGAAGGGUUACAGGUGCAAGUGCACUUGGAGUUGGUUGGACUUUGCAAGUGCGCGCGGAAUGAACCGUUCCCGUUAUGGGGUGUGUUGGGAAAACAGUUAAUCGAAGUGGAAAUGCACCGUCUUUGUACAAUUAAAACGGGCAUUAGACAAUAUUUCAAUGUAGAAUAUGUGGAAGUGCAAAGCAGAAGUCCGGGCGGCGCUGGAGAGAAGAGGAAGAGGACCUUUGAUAGACAGUGCAGUCAUCCAUAAAGUAGAAAGCACUACUAAACCAUUCAACCCAGUGUAGUGUUUCCUACUUUAUGGAUGAGUGCACUGUGAGCUUCUGAGAGAAGACCUGCAAAGACACUUCAAGAAUUUUGAAGACUUUGGAAUUGAUGGCACAUUUUCUUUCAGUGUACCAUGCUGACUUUUAACCAAUUUUAUGUAUUUUGUACUCAUUUGAAUUAAACAAAACUUGGAUUCUA